rnacentral:rRNA from 1 species
CCUACGGGAGGCUGCAGUGAGGAAUAUUGGUCAAUGGACGCAAGUCUGAACCAGCCAUGCCGCGUGCAGGAAGACGGCUCUAUGAGUUGUAAACUGCUUUUGUACGAGGGUAAACGCAGAUACGUGUAUCUGUCUGAAAGUAUCGUACGAAUAAGGAUCGGCUAACUCCGUGCCAGCAGCCGCGGUAACACGGAGGGUUCAAGCGUUAUCCGGAUUUAUUGGGUUUAAAGGGUGCGUAGGGGGUCGGAUAAGUUAGAGGUGAAAACCCGGGGCUCAACUUCGGAAUUGCCUCUGAUACUGUUCGGCUAGAGAGUAGUUGCGGUAGGCGGAAUGUAUGGUGUAGCGGUGAAAUGCUUAGAGAUCAUACAGAACACCGAUUGCGAAGGCAGCUUACCAAGCUACUUCUGACGUUGAGGCACGAAAGCGUGGGGAGCAAACAGGAUUAGAUACCCCUGUAGUC